rnacentral:misc_RNA from 1 species
GAUUCUGAGCAAAAGCCGUCAUUCAAACGUGACUGAUGAAAUUUUGACCAGGUUUUUGUAAACAUGUUAUCAUCAUGCCGAUUGCAUGGUGUACUUACACUCUCGUCAAUUUGGAUUUAGAUUACAUCUUGGAAAUGAUAAGGUCCCGGAUACAGAGUGCCACCAGGGCAGUCCGAUGGGGUCCACAUCGAGUGUAAAACGAACUACACGUCCCUUAAAAGACGACAAUAAACCCGUGCAAAGUCAAAGACCUGUCCGGUUAGAACAGAUAGAGGAGAGAACGUCACACGGCACCGAGGACAACAAGAAACUCAUUAAAGACGAAGAUGUGAAGUUGUCUAAGGACACGGAGAAAUCUCGGCACAGACGACUGACAAAGGACGACACGAAACAUACCCCAUUUACAAAGGACGAAUCUAAAUACACACAAGAUCACAUAGAUAAACCAACGUCCUUCAGGGAUGACACGCUACACGUGAAGGAUGGACAAAAAUCACGCAGAAGGUACAGUCAGUAUGAUGUAAGGGACAGUAGCGGUGAUAUUAGAAAAGACGAGCUAUUGUACGAGGAAGAUGAUGCAAGAGACGCAAUGCUCAAAAGAAGAUACGGCAAACUUUCACACGAAAAAGGAGAGAAAAUAAAGCACAUUGGCGAUGACGGUCCGGAGGUCGGAGAGGAAAACGACGACACCGAUGAGUUAAGAAGGCUGAUAGAGAAAAGGCAUCGGAGUCAGAGGUACUCUCUUCCUCCUGGACGUCGGGAACCCCCGAGAGAGGCUCCACGGCAUCGAACACGUCCAGAAAGGAUUGUGAGCAGAGAACCACGUGGUGUAAACUUUGCCUUUUGGGGCAAGGAUGGUGUUACAUUUUAAAUCACAAUAUUAUAAAACUUGGAUUAUUCUUUGAAAUAUUGUGACGCUGCACGUACAGUGACGUCAUAAAACUGGUUUCUUGGUGAUUUCAGUAGCAGUCACAGUAGAAACGUGGAUUGAAUUAGUCGCGCAGCCCAGUCCCGAUAUAACAGUAGAUGAUGGCCUAGGUAUUCCGAUGGGGAGGUGACUCAUGGGAAAUAGACAGACCAAGGAAGGCGGGAAGACGUAUACGGGCGGAGCGCGUGUAGUCAUAGUUCUCCGUCAGCUUCAGAAGACUUAGAUCCUAGUAGUAAAACUCGAAUUAAAUUCCGGGGAGACAAGCGGAAACAUGUCACCUUCACCAAGCGACCACAGAUGGUCGAAAUAGGACAACUGACCAAAGAUCUCGCGUAUAACGGCAAAGUUAAAUUCCAGCGAAGUCAGACCAGAGCCGUAGGAAUCUCCAACGCUGGAGAAGACAACAAAGCGUCGAUGACGUCAGUAAAUACCGUGACGUCAUCGGUGCCAGGGGUUCCUAGCAUUGCGACUUAUCAACAACCAGAAGAGGAUUUCCAAUGGGAACAAAGACCAACGCAACAAACGGCGCUUACAAAAGUAGACGAAAUAUAAACGGAUGAUAUCAUUUUAUUCCAGAGUCCUUCCCUUUUGUGUGAAGCUAAAAUGUACCUUUAACUUUAUGAACAGAGAAAGACUUCAUUAUUCAUUGAGAUAUAUACCAUAACAUUAAAUUGAAUGCUGUGAACAGAUGUUGUAUAGUGAAUCACUCUGAAAAAGUCCUGCAAUACACAUAUAUGUAAAUAUCAUUUGCUUAAUUAAAAGUAUAUUUGAACAUAUUUUUGUAUUAUGUGACAUUGUGCUUCUUAAUAUCGUCCUAAAUAAAAAAUACUUUGUACGUACAAUGUUAACGCGAAUCUGCUAUACGUGUACAAUGUGUACCCAGGUCCAAAGUCAAGGUCCUGUUAAUGUGCUGUGUUUAUCUGACGUAACAAUCAGGUCCGAAGUUAAGGUCCUGUUAAUGUUCUGUGUUUAUCUGACGUAACAAUCAGGUCCAAAGUCAAGGUCCUGUUAAUGUUCUGUAUUUAUCCGAAGUAACAAUCAGGUCCAAAGACAAGGUCCUGUUAAUGGUCUGUGUUUAUCUGACGUAACAAUCAGGUCCAAAGUAAAUGUCCUGUUCAUGUUCUGUGUUUGUCUGACGUAACAAUCAGGUCCAAAGACAAGGUCCUGUUAAUGUUCUGUGUUUAUCUGACGUAACAAUCAGGUCCAAAGACAAAGGCCUGUUAAUGUUCUGUGUUUAUCUGACGUAACAAUCAGACCCAAAGUCAAGGUCCUGUUAAUGUUCUGUGUUUAUCUGACGUAACAAUCAGGUCCAAAGUAAAUGCCCUGUUCAUGUUCUGUGUUUAUCUGACGUAACAAUCAGGUCCAAAGACAAGGGCCUGUUAAUGUUCUGUGUAUAUCUGACGUAACAAUCAGGUCCAAAGUAAAUGCCCUGUUCAUGAUUUGUGUUUAUCUGACGGAACAAUAAGGUCCAAAGUCAAGGUCCUGUUAAUGUUCUGUGUUUAUCUGACAUAACAAUCAGGUCCAAAGACAAAGGCCUGUUAAUGUUUUUUGUUUAUCUGACGUAACAAUCAGGUCCAAAGUAAAUGUCCCGUUUUUGUUUCUUUGUUUAUCUGACGUAACAAUCAGGUCCAAAGUCAAGGUCCUGUUAAUGUUCUGUGUUUAUCUGACAUAACAAUCAGGUCCAAAGACAAAGGCCUGUUAAUGUUUUUUGUUUAUCUGACGUAACAAUCAGGUCCAAAGUAAAUGUCCCGUUUUUGUUUCUUUGUUUAUCUGACGUAACAAUCAGGUCCAAAGUCAAGCUCGUGCUAAUGUUCUGUGUUUAUCUGACGUAACAAUCAGGUCCAAAGACAAAGGCCUGUUA